rnacentral:rRNA from 1 species
UACAGAGGUCUCAAGCGUUGUUCGGAUUCAUUGGGCGUAAAGGGUGCGUAGGUGGCGCCGCAAGUCCAUGGUGAAAGCUCGAUGCUCAACAUCGAGUCGGCCACGGAGACUGCGGGGCUCGAGCACUGUAGGGGCAGAUGGAAUUCCGGGUGUAGCGGUGGAAUGCGUAGAGAUCCGGAAGAACACCGGUGGCGAAGGCGGUCUGCUGGGCAGUUGCUGACACUGAGGCGCGACAGCGUGGGGAGCAAACAGG